rnacentral:rRNA from 1 species
CCUACGGGAGGCAGCAGUGGGGAAUAUUGCACAAUGGGGGAAACCCUGAUGCAGCGACGUCGCGUGAGUGAAGAAGUAUUUCGGUAUGUAAAGCUCUAUCAGCAGGGAAGAGAAUGACGGUACCUGAGGAAGAAGCACCGGCUAACUACGGGCCAGCAGCCGCGGUAAUACGUAGGGGGCAAGCGUUAUCCGGAUUUACUGGGUGUAAAGGGAGCGUAGACGGCGAAGAAAGUCUGAAGGGAAAGCCAGCGGCUCAACCGCGGAACUGCUUUGGAAACUUUUUUGCUGGAGUACCGUAGAGGUAAGCGGAAUGCCUGGUGUAGCGGUGAAAUGCGUAGAUAUUAGGAGGAACACCGGUGGCGAAGGCGGCUUACUGGACGGUAACUGACGUUGAGGCUCGAAAGCGUGGGGAGCAAACAGGAUUAGAUACCCGGGUAGUC